rnacentral:lncRNA from 1 species
AUUCAAAUCAAAUUCGAAUUCAAACUCGAACAAAACUUCAUCCUUAUUCAUGGAACUCAGAAAGAGGGUGACAAACACUUUUGGGCAUGGAGAAAAAUCAUGCAAGAACCUAUUUCAUGCAUGGAGAAAGGUGGUUGGUGUUUAAGGGAAGAGUCCAACUCGAUUUGGACUCUAACUUCUCAUUCAAGUUCAAACCUUUUUGAACUUAAAUUUAAAACCAAAUUCAUCCUAAUCCAAAGGAGAUUAGAAGUGAGCAUUAAUCCUCUUCUAGGCAUAAGAAAAAAUUCACAUAAAAAUUUUUCUCGUAUGAAGAAAAGGUGGGCAU